rnacentral:lncRNA from 1 species
GAGGCAGGCAGAAGUGAUCCAGAGUUCAGGCUCCCCCUUGCCUUUCAUCCUCCCAUUCUCCUUCUACGCCACCUCCUCUUCUUCCGGUCUCUCCAUCUGGAAACCAUGAGCCUCAUGGAUUCCAGGCACAAAUUCUCAGAUUUCAGAUGUUUGGGAAAUUUCUCUGCUUCGGUCAUUCCUCAAGAGUUAAAGAAUUCAGUUUGGGAAGAAAAACAGCUGAGACUCUUCCACAGCAGAGAAAAUAAACAAGGUGUGGGGAGUACCCAUCCCCUCGCCCACUCAGCUCCAGACCCGCACACAAUGUCUGACUUCAGAGGAAGCGUUGGGAUCUCCCUGGGAGGGAGCAGACGCAGAAGCAAAAUCUCCACUCGUGAAAACAUGCUUGUCUCCCUUCUGAAGUGUGAACACGACUGGCACCAGGCUGAUUCUGGGGUUUCUCCUGUGGCCAGUCAAGGCAGCCUGGCCUGCUUGACGAAGCCCUCUGCCACAGCAGGGCACCAGGCACCACGCGAAGGUUGCUCCACGAGCCUCUUUAUUCCAGCUUGAUGAUUACAUCCAUUUUCCGGACCAGAAAACUGAGGUGCCACCUCUACCACCAGAAAGAGAAAACCAACUAUCUUUAACCAUAAAACAACCCGAAGAGCUAGGUACUGUUAUUUUUCCAGAUGAGAAGCAAGCGCAGGGAGGUGAACUUGCGCACAUUCGCGCAACUAUGAAGUGCUGGGGCCGAGACAGCCCUCACCAGGUUCACAGCGGCUGCAGGCUCCAACUACAAAAUCCUCGGAUGGCACAGAGGCAGCAGGAAGGACCCCACAACGUCCCCGCGAGGAGCCGGUGGUUGUGAAACUAAAUGAACAGAGACGUAUUGUUAUACCUGGCAGAAAAGGGGAGAAAUGUGGCAGAUUUUUUCUAAACAGUCACGAAAUAUGGAUUUAAAAGAACUUUGUAGACAGCAUCAUGAUUUUGUUUCCAACCACUUUGAGCUGCUCGGGUUCUAUCGUAGAAUCCCGCUCAUUUCCUCCCCUCCCUUUGGUUUAGAGCCUUAAUGACCUCUGACGUAAUUAAGGAAAGGCACCUCGAUCCCAGUUAUCUGUGGCCUCCCGAGGGCCGGCUCUGAGCGAGGCGCUCCGCAGACUGUCUCUGAACGGGGGACAUCGGGGCGUCCCAUCCCCGCGUCCUUCCGGGCCCGCCGCCCGCCCAGAGCCCGGCCGCGCCCCGAGCCACCCCAC